AUUGAACGCUGGCGGCAUGCUUUACACAUGCAAGUCGAACGGCAGCACGGGCUUCGGCCUGGUGGCGAGCGGCGAACGGGUGAGUAAUAUAUCGGAACGUACCCAGAAGUGGGGGAUAACGUAGCGAAAGUUACGCUAAUACCGCAUACGAUCUAUGGAUGAAAGCAGGGGACCGCAAGGCCUUGUGCUCCUGGAGCGGCCGAUAUCUGAUUAGCUAGUUGGUGAGGUAAAGGCUCACCAAGGCGACGAUCAGUAGCUGGUCUGAGAGGACGACCAGCCACACUGGAACUGAGACACGGUCCAGACUCCUACGGGAGGCAGCAGUGGGGAAUUUUGGACAAUGGGCGCAAGCCUGAUCCAGCAAUGCCGCGUGAGUGAAGAAGGCCUUCGGGUUGUAAAGCUCUUUUGUCAGGGAAGAAACGGUAGAGGCUAAUAUCCUUUGCUAAUGACGGUACCUGAAGAAUAAGCACCGGCUAACUACGUG
rnacentral:rRNA from 1 species